rnacentral:rRNA from 1 species
AAAACUCAAAGGAAAUUGACGGGGGGCCCGGCACAAGCGGUGGAGCAUGUGGUUUAAUUGAAGCAACGCGCAGAACCUUACCAGCCCUUGACAAUACCGGAUUCGCGGUUAGUGGAGACACUUUUCCUUCAGUUAGGUUGGAUCGAAUACAGGUGCUGCAUGGCUGUCGUCAGCUCGUGUCGUGAGAUGUUGGGUUAAGUCCCGCAACGAGCGCAACCUUCGCCUUUAGUUGCCAGCAUUCAGUUGGGCACUCUAGAGGGACUGCCGGUGAUAAGCCGGAGGAAGGUGGGGAUGACGUCAAGUCCUCAUGGCCCUUACGGGCUGGGCUACACACGUGCUACAAUGGCAGUGACAAUGGGCAGCGAGACCGCGAGGUCGAGCUAAUCUCCAAAAGCUGUCUCAGUUCGGAUUGUUCUCUGCAACUCGAGAGCAUGAAGUUGGAAUCGCUAGUAAUCGUGGAUCAGCAUGCCACGGUGAAUACGUUCCCGGGCCUUGUACACACCGCCCGUCACACCAUGGGAGUUGGUUUUACCCGAAGGCGUUGCGCUAACCAGUUUACUGGAGGCAGGCGACCACGGUAGGGUCAGCGACUGGGGUG